GCGAGAGUGGCGGAAUUGGUAGACGCACUGGAUUUAGGAUCCAGCCCACAUAGCGUGGAUGGGGGUUCGAUUCCCCCCUCUCGCA
rnacentral:tRNA from 1 species